CGCGUAGGCGGUACGACAAGUCUGGAGUGAAAGCCCGGGGCUCAACCCCGGAAUGUCUUUGGAAACUGUCGAACUUGAGUGCGGAAGAGGCAUCUGGAAUUCCCAGUGUAGCGGUGAAAUGCGUAGAUAUUGGGAAGAACACCUGAGGCGAAGGCGGGAUGCUGGGCCGACACUGACGCUGAGGCGCGAAAGCCAGGGAGGCGAAACG
rnacentral:rRNA from 1 species